rnacentral:lncRNA from 1 species
GGAGUAUAAUUUGAGCAAUCUUAGAAAUAUGAAAGGAAAUUGAUGUCCUUUAAGCUCCAUGAAAAUAGUUGAAUACUACUAGUGGAACCAUAAUAUAAAGUUUGUCAAAGUUUUUCUUUUUUGACUAUGUAAAAACUUGUUAAAGUUGAGUCACUUCCCUGGGAUGAUGAAACCAAGUCGUAAACACCAGAUAUCAUGACGUCGCAUCUGUUUCUAAUUCCUUCUAUUAAGAGUAACAGAGAAAACAGAGCAUGACUACAUAAAGUUUCCCAUGAAUUGAAGUUAGAAAGAAAGGAGUAAAAAAUAUUAUUUUCGUACCAUUAAUCCUAAAUUAUACAUCAUAAACUUAGAGCGCAAGACAAAAUCUCCAAAGGCCAUAAACUUUAGAUUUGAUCCCCAAAAUACUACUUUGAAGGAGCGAGAUGUGCAAUACCAUAGAACUCGCCUAUUGUCAAGCAGAGGAGAUCCAUAAUGAGAGACUAAUAACGGCAUUAGACUCCUACUUAGUGCUCAAAUUAAGUUUCUAUCCAAUUCCUUCCAGCAAAAAAGAAACAAGCCCAGAAACCGAAAAGUCUAAAUAAACAACACAAAUUUACCAACUAGUGAAGUUUGAGAAUAACUACUUGUAUCAUAUGUAGUUCACCUAGUAUAAAUGGCAUGGUCUUGAGACCCCCCUGCUUCCUCUCCUUUUCUCUUCCAUCCUCAGCCAUUGCUCACAGAUAGAACUGUCCAACCUCCCCAAAUAGAAGAGUAGCAAUGCUUAAGGCCUUGGCCAAUGUAUGACUCUCCUUACCUUG